rnacentral:rRNA from 1 species
AUGAACGCUAGCUACAGGCUUAACACAUGCAAGUCGAGGGGCAGCAUCAUCAAAGCUUGCUUUGAUGGAUGGCGACCGGCGCACGGGUGAGUAACACGUAUCCAACCUGCCGACAACACUGGGAUAGCCUUUCGAAAGAAAGAUUAAUACCGGAUGGCAUAAUUAUUCCGCAUGGGAUAAUUAUUAAAGAAUUUCGGUUGUCGAUGGGGAUGCGUUCCAUUAGGCAGUUGGCGGGGUAACGGCCCACCAAACCAACGAUGGAUAGGGGUUCUGAGAGGAAGGUCCCCCACAUUGGAACUGAGACACGGUCCAAACUCCUACGGGAGGCAGCAGUGAGGAAUAUUGGUCAAUGGACGAGAGUCUGAACCAGCCAAGUAGCGUGAAGGAUGACUGCCCUAUGGGUUGUAAACUUCUUUUAUACGGGAAUAAAGUUAGCUACGUGUGGCUUUUUGUAUGUACCGUAUGAAUAAGGAUCGGCUAACUCCGUGCCAGCAGCCGCGGUAAUACGGAGGAUCCGAGCGUUAUCCGGAUUUAUUGGGUUUAAAGGGAGCGUAGGCGGGUUGUUAAGUCAGUUGUGAAAGUUUGCGGCUCAACCGUAAAAUUGCAGUUGAUACUGGCGACCUUGAGUGCAACAGAGGUAGGCGGAAUUCGUGGUGUAGCGGUGAAAUGCUUAGAUAUCACGAAGAACUCCGAUUGCGAAGGCAGCUUACUGGAUUGUAACUGACGCUGAUGCUCGAAAGUGUGGGUAUCAAACAGGAUUAGAUACCCUGGUAGUCCACACAGUAAACGAUGAAUACUCGCUGUUGGCGAUAUACGGUCAGCGGCCAAGCGAAAGCAUUAAGUAUUCCACCUGGGGAGUACGCCGGCAACGGUGAAACUCAAAGGAAUUGACGGGGGCCCGCACAAGCGGAGGAACAUGUGGUUUAAUUCGAUGAUACGCGAGGAACCUUACCCGGGCUUAAAUUGCAACUGACGGAAUCGGAAACGGUGCUUUCUUCGGACAGUUGUGAAGGUGCUGCAUGGUUGUCGUCAGCUCGUGCCGUGAGGUGUCGGCUUAAGUGCCAUAACGAGCGCAACCCUUACGGGUAGUUACCAUCAGGUUAUGCUGGGGACUCUACCCGGACUGCCGUCGUAAGAUGUGAGGAAGGUGGGGAUGACGUCAAAUCAGCACGGCCCUUACGUCCGGGGCUACACACGUGUUACAAUGGGGGGUACAGAAGGCAGCUACACGGCGACGUGGUGCUAAUCCCAAAAGCCUCUCUCAGUUCGGAUUGGAGUCUGCAACCCGACUCCAUGAAGCUGGAUUCGCUAGUAAUCGCGCAUCAGCCACGGCGCGGUGAAUACGUUCCCGGGCCUUGUACACACCGCCCGUCAAGCCAUGAAAGCCGGGGGUACCUGAAGUACGUAACCGCGAGGAGCGUCCUAGGGUAAAACUGGUGAUUGGGGCU